rnacentral:rRNA from 1 species
UACGGAGGGUGCGAGCGUUAAUCGGAAUUACUGGGCGUAAAGGGCGCGUAGGCGGUGAAGUCAGUCGGGUGUGAAAGCCCCGGGCGUCAACCUGGGAACGUGCAUUCGAUACUGCUUCGCUAGAGUAUGGUAGAGGGAAGCGGAAUUCCGGGCGUAGCGGUGAAAUGCGUAGAUAUCCGGAGGAACACCAGUGGCGAAGGCGGCUUCCUGGACCAAUACUGACGCUGAGGCGCGAAAGCGUGGGGAUCAAACAGGAUUAGAAACCCCCACGUAGU